rnacentral:rRNA from 1 species
UACGAAGGGGGCUAGCGUUGCUCGGAAUUACUGGGCGUAAAGCGCACGUAGGCGGAUUGUUAAGUCGGGGGUGAAAUCCUGGAGCUCAACUCCAGAACUGCCUUCGAAACUGGCGAUUCUUGGAGUUCGGAGAGGUGAGUGGAACUGCGAGUGUAGAGGUGAAAUUCGUAGAUAUUCGCAAGAACACCAGUGGCGAAGGCGGCUCACUGGCCCGAUACUGACGCUGAGGUGCGAAAGCGUGGGGAGCAAACAGGG